rnacentral:misc_RNA from 1 species
GAUGAAGAACGCAGCGAAAUGCGAUACUUGGUGUGAAUUGCAGAAUCCCGUGAACCAUCGAGUCUUUGAACGCAAGUUGCGCCCGAAGCCAUUAGGCCGAGGGCACGCCUGCCUGGGCGUCACACGUCGUUGCCCCCCCCAUCUACUCCUUCGGGAUUGCGGGGGGCGGAUGAUGGCCUCCCGUGUGCCUCGCCGCGCGGUUGGCAUAAAUGCCAAGUCCUCGGCGACGCACGCCACGACAAUCGGUGGUUGCGAAACCUCGGUUGCCCGUCGUGAGCGGUCGUCGCGCAUCGAGGGCUCGAAAAAAUUGCCGGGUUCCGGCUCGGCUUUCAACGCGACCCCAGGUCAGGCGGGGUUACCCGCUGAAUUUAAGCAUAUCAAUAAGCGGAGGA